rnacentral:rRNA from 1 species
UGCAGUCGAGCGGACAGAUGGGAGCUUGCUCCCUGAUGUUAGCGGCGGACGGGUGAGUAACACGUGGGUAACCUGCCUGUAAGACUGGGAUAACUCCGGGAAACCGGGGCUAAUACCGGAUGCUUGUUUGAACCGCAUGGUUCAAACAUAAAAGGUGGCUUCGGCUACCACUUACAGAUGGACCCGCGGCGCAUUAGCUAGUUGGUGAGGUAACGGCUCACCAAGGCAACGAUGCGUAGCCGACCUGAGAGGGUGAUCGGCCACACUGGGACUGAGACACGGCCCAGACUCCUACGGGAGGCAGCAGUAGGGAAUCUUCCGCAAUGGACGAAAGUCUGACGGAGCAACGCCGCGUGAGUGAUGAAGGUUUUCGGAUCGUAAAGCUCUGUUGUUAGGGAAGAACAAGUACCGUUCGAAUAGGGCGGUACCUUGACGGUACCUAACCAGAAAGCCACGGCUAACUACGUGCCAGCAGCCGCGGUAAUACGUAGGUGGCAAGCGUUGUCCGGAAUUAUUGGGCGUAAAGGGCUCGCAGGCGGUUCCUUAAGUCUGAUGUGAAAGCCCCCGGCUCAACCGGGGAGGGUCAUUGGAAACUGGGGAACUUGAGUGCAGAAGAGGAGAGUGGAAUUCCACGUGUAGCGGUGAAAUGCGUAGAGAUGUGGAGGAACACCAGUGGCGAAGGCGACUCUCUGGUCUGUAACUGACGCUGAGGAGCGAAAGCGUGGGGAGCGAACAGGAUUAGAUACCCUGGUAGUCCACGCCGUAAACGAUGAGUGCUAAGUGUUAGGGGGUUUCCGCCCCUUAGUGCUGCAGCUAACGCAUUAAGCACUCCGCCUGGGGAGUACGGUCGCAAGACUGAAACUCAAAGGAAUUGACGGGGGCCCGCACAAGCGGUGGAGCAUGUGGUUUAAUUCGAAGCAACGCGAAGAACCUUACCAGGUCUUGACAUCCUCUGACAAUCCUAGAGAUAGGACGUCCCCUUCGGGGGCAGAGUGACAGGUGGUGCAUGGUUGUCGUCAGCUCGUGUCGUGAGAUGUUGGGUUAAGUCCCGCAACGAGCGCAACCCUUGAUCUUAGUUGCCAGCAUUCAGUUGGGCACUCUAAGGUGACUGCCGGUGACAAACCGGAGGAAGGUGGGGAUGACGUCAAAUCAUCAUGCCCCUUAUGACCUGGGCUACACACGUGCUACAAUGGACAGAACAAAGGGCAGCGAAACCGCGAGGUUAAGCCAAUCCCACAAAUCUGUUCUCAGUUCGGAUCGCAGUCUGCAACUCGACUGCGUGAAGCNGGAAUCGCUAGUAAUCGNNGNNCAGC